AUUGAACGCUGGCGGCAUGCCUUACACAUGCAAGUCGAACGGCAGCACGGGAGCAAUCCUGGUGGCGAGUGGCGAACGGGUGAGUAAUAUAUCGGAACGUGCCCAGUAGUGGGGGAUAACUGCUCGAAAGAGCAGCUAAUACCGGAUACGACCUGAGGGUGAAAGGGGGGGAUCGCAAGACCUCUCGCUAUUGGAGCGGCCGAUAUCAGAUUAGCUAGUUGGUGGGGUAAAGGCCUACCAAGGUAACGAUCUGUAGUUGGUCUGAGAGGACGACCAGCCACACUGGGACUGAGACACGGCCCAGACUCCUACGGGAGGCAGCAGUGGGGAAUUUUGGACAAUGGGCGCAAGCCUGAUCCAGCAAUGCCGCGUGCAGGAAGAAGGCCUUCGGGUUGUAAACUGCUUUUGUCAGGGAAGAAAUCCUCUAGGUUAAUACCCUUGGGGGGAUGACGGUACCUGAAGAAUAAGCACCGGCUAACUACGUGCCAGCCGCCGCCGUAAUAC
rnacentral:rRNA from 1 species